UGCAAGUCGAGCGGAGAGAUGUAGCUUGCUACUGAUCUUAGCGGCGGACGGGUGAGUAAUGCUUAGGAAUCUGCCUAUUAGUGGGGGACAACAUUCCGAAAGGAAUGCUAAUACCGCAUACGCCCUACGGGGGAAAGCAGGGGAUCAUUAGACCUUGCGCUAAUAGAUGAGCCUAAGUCGGAUUAGCUAGUUGGUGGGGUAAAGGCCUACCAAGGCGACGAUCUGUAGCGGGUCUGAGAGGAUGAUCCGCCACACUGGGACUGAGACACGGCCCAGACUCCUACGGGAGGCAGCAGUGGGGAAUAUUGGACAAUGGGGGGAACCCUGAUCCAGCCAUGCCGCGUGUGUGAAGAAGGCCUUUUGGUUGUAAAGCACUUUAAGCGAGGAGGAGGCUACUCUGGUUAAUACCCAGGGAUAGUGGACGUUACUCGCAGAAUAAGCACCGGCUAACUCUGUGCCAGCAGCCGCGGUAAUACAGAGGGUGCGAGCGUUAAUCGGAUUUACUGGGCGUAAAGCGUACGUAGGCGGCUUUUUAAGUCGGAUGUGAAAUCCCUGAGCUUAACUUAGGAAUUGCAUUCGAUACUGGGAAGCUAGAGUAUGGGAGAGGAUGGUAGAAUUCCAGGUGUAGCGGUGAAAUGCGUAGAGAUCUGGAGGAAUACCGAUGGCGAAGGCAGCCAUCUGGCCUAAUACUGACGCUGAGGUACGAAAGCAUGGGGAGCAAACAGGAUUAGAUACCCUGGUAGUCCAUGCCGUAAACGAUGUCUACUAGCCGUUGGGGCC
rnacentral:rRNA from 1 species